rnacentral:rRNA from 1 species
UAGGGAAUCUUCGGCAAUGGGGGGAACCCUGACCGAGCAACGCCGCGUGAGUGAAGAAGGUUUUCGGAUCGUAAAGCUCUGUUGUUAAGGAAGAACGAGUGUGAGAAUGGAAAGUUCAUACUGUGACGGUACUUAACCAGAAAGGGACGGCUAACUACGUGCCAGCAGCCGCGGUAAUACGUAGGUCCCGAGCGUUGUCCGGAUUUGUUGGGCGUAAAGCGAGCGCAGGCGGUUAGAUAAGUCUGAAGUUAAAGGCAGUGGCUCAACCAUUGUAGGCUUUGGAAACUGUUUAACUUGAGUGCAGAAGGGGAGGGUGGAAUUCCAUGUGUAGCGGUGAAAUGCGUAGAUAUAUGGAGGAACACCGGUGGCGAAAGCGGCUCGCUGGUCUGUAACUGACGCGGAGGCUCGAAAGCGUGGGGAGCGAACAGG